UACGUAGGGUGCAAGCGUUAAUCGGAAUUACUGGGCGUAAAGCGUGCGCAGGCGGUUUCGUAAGCCAGACGUGAAAUCCCCGGGCUUAACCUGGGAACUGCGUUUGGGACUGCGAGGCUGGAGUGUGGCAGAGGGAGGUGGAAUUCCACAUGUAGCAGUGAAAUGCGUAGAUAUGUGGAGGAACACCGAUGGCGAAGGCAGCCUCCUGGGCUAACACUGACGCUCAUGCACGAAAGCGUGGGGAGCAAACAGG
rnacentral:rRNA from 1 species